rnacentral:sRNA from 1 species
UUAUAUUCUCCACUGGGGGGGAUGAGAACCCCCGACCGGGGUUCGACAACUGACAACGCCAGUUGGACAGACCGCGAGCCUGCGAGCGGGCUGCCCCGCAGGGGCGAGCGAAGCGAGUCAAUCCCCCCCUCACCGCCA